rnacentral:rRNA from 2 species
ACGAAAAAUAACGAUACGGGACUCAUCCGAGGCCCCGUAAUCGGAAUGAGUACACUCUAAACCCUUUAACGAGGAUCAAUUGGAGGGCAAGUCUGGUGCCAGCAGCCGCGGUAAUUCCAGCUCCAAUAGCGUAUAUUAAAGUUGUUGCGGUUAAAAAGCUCGUAGUCGAAUUUGUGUCCCGCGCCGCCGGUUCAUCGCUCGCGGUGUCAACUGGCGUGUCCGCGGGACGUCCUGCCGGUGGGCUUAGCCCCUGUGGGCGGCCCAAUCUCAAUCCCACCGCGGUGCUCUUCACUGAGUGUCGAGGUGGGCCGGCACGUUUACUUUGAACAAAUUAGAGUGCUUAAAGCAGGCUAAAACAUCGCCUGAAUACUGUGUGCAUGGAAUAAUGGAAUAGGACCUCGGUUCUAUUUUGUUGGUUUUCGGAACCCCGAGGUAAUGAUUAAUAGGAACGGAUGGGGGCAUUCGUAUUGCGACGUUAGAGGUGAAAUUCUUGGAUCGUCGCAAGACGGACAGAAGCGAAAGCAUUUGCCAAAAACGCUUUCAUUGAUCAAGAACGAAAGUUAGAGGUUCGAAGGCGAUCAGAUACCGCCCUAGUUCUAACCAUAAACGAUGCCAGCUAGCGAUCCGCCGACGUUCCUCCGAUGACUCGGCGGGCAGCUUCCGGGAAACCAAAGCUUUUGGGUUCCGGGGGAAGUAUGGUUGCAAAGCUGAAACUUAAAGGAAUUGACGGAAGGGCACCACCAGGAGUGGAGCCUGCGGCUUAAUUUGACUCAACACGGGAAACCUCACCAGGCCCGGACACCGGAAGGAUUGACAGAUUGAGAGC